rnacentral:rRNA from 1 species
AUGAACGCUAGCGACAGGCCUAACACAUGCAAGUCGAGGGGCAUCGGGGCGUAGCAAUACGCUGCCGGCGACCGGCGGAUGGGUGAGUAACGCGUAUGCAACCUGCCUUCAGCAGGGGGAUAGCCCGUUGAAAGACGGAUUAAUACCCCGUAACACAGGGGCUCCGCAUGGAGAUUAUUGUUAAAGGGAUACUUCCUUCGGGGGGUAUUCCGGCUGAAGAUGGGCAUGCGUUCCAUUAGGUAGUUGGUUGAGGUAACGGCUCACCAAGCCUACGAUGGAUAGGGGAACUGAGAGGUUGGUCCCCCACACUGGUACUGAGACACGGACCAGACUCCUACGGGAGGCAGCAGUGAGGAAUCUUGGUCAAUGGACGGAAGUCUGAACCAGCCAUGUCGCGUGAAGGAGGACGGCCCUAAGGGUUGUAAACUUCUUUUGCAGGGGAAUAAAGUAUUCCACGAGAUGGGAUAUUGCAAGUACGCUGCGAAUAAGGAUCGGCUAACUCCGUG